rnacentral:rRNA from 1 species
UUCCGCAAUGGACGAAAGUCUGACGGAGCAACGCCGCGUGAGUGACGAAGGCCUUCGGGUUGUAAAGCUCUGUUGUCGGGGAAGAACACCUUCCAUGUGAAUAAUGUGGAGGGAUGACGGUACCCGACGAGGAAGCCACGGCUAACUACGUGCCAGCAGCCGCGGUAAUACGUAGGUGGCAAGCGUUGUCCGGAUUUACUGGGCGUAAAGGGAGCGUAGGCGGACUUUUAAGUGAGAUGUGAAAUACCCGGGCUCAACCUGGGUGCUGCAUUUCAAACUGGAAGUCUAGAGUGCAGGAGAGGAGAGUGGAAUUCCUAGUGUAGCGGUGAAAUGCGUAGAGAUUAGGAAGAACACCAGUGGCGAAGGCGACUCUCUGGACUGUAACUGACGCUGAGGCGCGAAAGUGUGGGGAGCAAACAGG